rnacentral:rRNA from 1 species
GACGAACGCUGGCGGCGUGCUUAACACAUGCAAGUCGAACGGAAAGGCCCUGCUUGCAGGGUACUCGAGUGGCAAACGGGUGAGUAACACGUGGGUGAUCUGCCCUGCACUUCGGGAUAAGCUUGGGAAACUGGGUCUAAUACCGGAUAGGAGCCAUCUUUAGUGUGGUGGUUGGAAAGUUUUUUCGGUGUAGGAUGAGCUCGCGGCCUAUCAGCUUGUUGGUGGGGUAAUGGCCUACCAAGGCGGCGACGGGUAGCCGGCCUGAGAGGGUGUACGGCCACAUUGGGACUGAGAUACGGCCCAGACUCCUACGGGAGGCAGCAGUGGGGAAUAUUGCACAAUGGGCGCAAGCCUGAUGCAGCGACGCCGCGUGGGGGAUGAAGGCCUUCGGGUUGUAAACUCCUUUCGCUAGGGACGAAGCUUUGUUGUGACGGUACCUAGAUAAGAAGCACCGGCUAACUACGUG